rnacentral:rRNA from 1 species
GACGAACGCUGGCGGCGUGCUUAACACAUGCAAGUCGAACGGAAAGGCCCUGCGUUUGUGGGGUGCUCGAGUGGCGAACGGGUGAGUAACACGUGAGUAACCUGCCCUUGACUUUGGGAUAACUUCAGGAAACUGGGGCUAAUACCGGAUAGGAGCUCCUGCUGCAUGGUGGGGGUUGGAAAGUUUCGGCGGUUGGGGAUGGACUCGCGGCUUAUCAGCUUGUUGGUGAGGUAGUGGCUUACCAAGGCUUUGACGGGUAGCCGGCCUGAGAGGGUGACCGGCCACAUUGGGACUGAGAUACGGCCCAGACUCCUACGGGAGGCAGCAGUGGGGAAUAUUGCACAAUGGGCGGAAGCCUGAUGCAGCAACGCCGCGUGCGGGAUGACGGCCUUCGGGUUGUAAACCGCUUUCGCCUGUGACGAAGCGUGCGUGACGGUAAUGGGUAAAGAAGCACCGGCUAACUACGUG